UACGUAGGGUGCAAGCGUUGUCCGGAAUUAUUGGGCGUAAAGAGCGCGUAGGCGGUCUGUUAAGUGUAGAGUGAAAGCUCCGGGCUCAACCCGGAAAUUGCUCUGCAUACUGGCAGACUUGAGGGAUGCAGAGGUUUGUGGAAUUCCUGGUGUAACGGUGAAAUGUGUUGAUAUCAGGAGGAACACCCAUGGCGAAGGCAGCAAACUGGGCAUCAUCUGACGCUGAGGCGCGAAAGCGUGGGUAGCAAACAGG
rnacentral:rRNA from 1 species